GAUGAACGCUGGCGGCGUGCCUAAUACAUGCAAGUCGAGCGAACAGACGCGGAGCUUGCUCCUCUGACGUUAGCGGCGGACGGGUGAGUAACACGUGGAUAACCUACCUAUAAGACUGGGAUAACUUCGGGAAACCGGAGCUAAUACCGGAUAAUAUAUUGAACCGCAUGGUUCAAUAGUGAAAGACGGUUUUGCUGUCACUUAUAGAUGGAUCCGCGCCGCAUUAGCUAGUUGGUAAGGUAACGGCUUACCAAGGCAACGAUGCGUAGCCGACCGGAGAGGGUGAUCGGCCACACUGGAACUGAGACACGGUCCAUACUCCUACGGGAGGCAGCAGUAGGGAAUCUUCCGCAAUGGGCGAAAGCCUUACGGAGCAACGCCGCGUGAGUGAUGAAGGUCUUCGGAUCGUAAAACUCUGUUAUUAGGGAAGAACAAAUGUGUAAGUAACUAUGCACGUCUUGACGGUACCUAAUCAGAAAGCCACGGCUAACUACGUG
rnacentral:rRNA from 1 species